CGUAGGGUGCAAGCGUUGUCCGGAAUUACUGGGCGUAAAGAGUUCGUAGGCGGUUUGUCGCGUCGUUUGUGAAAACUCACAGCUCAACUGUGAGCCUGCAGGCGAUACGGGCAGACUUGAGUACUGCAGGGGAGACUGGAAUUCCUGGUGUAGCGGUGAAAUGCGCAGAUAUCAGGAGGAACACCGGUGGCGAAGGCGGGUCUCUGGGCAGUAACUGACGCUGAGGAACGAAAGCGUGGGUAGCAAACAGGAUUAGGUACCCUGGUAGUCCACGCCGUAAACGGUGGGCGCUAGGUGUGGGUUCCUUCCACGGGAUCUGUGCCGUAGCUAACGCAUUAAGCGCCCCGCCUGGGGAGUACGGCCGCAAGGCUA
rnacentral:rRNA from 1 species